AAUAAUUCAUAAGCUUAUUGGCAAAUCAUGUCAACCAUAAUAUGUCACGUGCAGUGGCUUUAAACCUGAUAAAACACUCCUAAUUAGUAUUCUUUAUAUAAAGAAUACUAAUAAGGCAGUAUCUAUUGUAGUCGUGUCUUCAUUAGUAUUUUUUAUAUAAAGAAUACUAAUAAGGCAGUAUAUCUAUUGAAUUUGCAGUCGUGUUUGAAGCCGUUUA